rnacentral:misc_RNA from 1 species
UCGAGUUUACAACUCCCAAACCAUUGUGAAUCUUACCUUUUCGUUGCUUCGGCGGGAUCGCCCCGGGCGCUUCGGUGCCCCGGAUUCAGGCGCCCGCCGGGGGAAUCUAAACUCUUGUAUUAUAGUGGAUUUCUGAGUGGAUUACACAAAUAAUCA